GACGAACGCUGGCGGCGUGCUUAACACAUGCAAGUCGAACGGAAAGGCCCUGCUUGCCGGGUACUCGAGUGGCGAACGGGUAAGUAACACGUGGGUGAUCUGCCCUGCACUUCGGGAUAAGCCUGGGAAACUGGGUCUAAUACCGGAUAGGAGCCAUUUUUAGUGUGAUGGUUGGAAAGUUUUUUCGGUGUAGGAUGAGCUCGCGGCCUAUCAGCUUGUUGGUGGGGUAAUGGCCUACCAAGGCGGCGACGGGUAGCCGGCCUGAGAGGGUGGACGGCCACAUUGGGACUGAGAUACGGCCCAGACUCCUACGGGAGGCAGCAGUGGGGAAUAUUGCACAAUGGGCGCAAGCCUGAUGCAGCGACGCCGCGUGGGGGAUGACGGCCUUCGGGUUGUAAACUCCUUUCGCUAGGGACGAAGCUUUUGUGACGGUACCUAGAUAAGAAGCACCGGCUAACUACGUG
rnacentral:rRNA from 1 species